rnacentral:lncRNA from 1 species
GAAUGCGGAAUGCUUAGAUGAUAUCGCUAAGUUGUGGAUAGUUAGGCAUUCUGGAAUAUGAUUGGUUGUGUUAAUUUGCGAUUAAUACUAGGAAUCAUGUGUUAUUUUUACCGGGUUUAGUAUUAAUCAUAUUUUGGCCAUAUAGCAUUUGUGUAACCCACACUGCUAGGCAUGUUUGAGGUGAAAUGUGUUGAUUGUGUGGAGAUUAAUUCUAGGAACCUUGUGUUAUUUUUACCGGGUUUAGUAUUAAUCAUAUAUUGGCCGACAGCAUUUGUGUAACCCACAAUGCUAGGCAUAUUGGGGUGAGUUAGUGUUCCUUCAGACCUCGUACCCGGCGGGUUCAAGGAAACCCCUUAUUCGCUGGAUCAGGAAGACUCAGAUAGACGGGGUCAUGGCCUAGGGCUGAGUGAUUACACGACGGUGUAAUGUGGCAGUGACCUGAAGGACUGUGGGCUGUCGCGCUGUGACCCGAAGGACUGUGGGCCGCGGUCGGUUGAAAGUUCCUUCUUCUGGCCUUCGUGGUAGGAAGAUAGGAUAUUGCCGAUAGUGAAGGAG